AUGGUUUGGAAGGCUUGGGCACCUCCGAAGAUUAAAUUCUUUGCUUGGUUGGCCUUGCAAGAUAGGAUUUGGACAGCCAAUCGUCUGGAGAAGCGUGGUUGGCAAAACUGUGGCCUUUGCCCGCUUUGCAAGAGGGAACAAGAAACGGGGACACAUCUCUUCUUCAAGUGUCGCUACACGCUUAGGCUUUGGAGAUUGAUCAUAGAGCAGCUUGGACUUGGAACAUAA
rnacentral:rRNA from 1 species